rnacentral:rRNA from 1 species
CACGCAGGCGGUCUGUCAAGUCGGAUGUGAAAUCCCCGAGCUUAACUUGGGAAUUGCAUUCGAUACUGGUUAGCUAGAGUAUGGGAGAGGAUGGUAGAAUUCCAGGUGUAGCGGUGAAAUGCGUAGAGAUCUGGAGGAAUACCGAUGGCGAAGGCAGCCAUCUGGCCUAAUACUGACACUGAGGUGCGAAAGCAUGGGGAGCAAACAGGAUUAGAUACCCGCGUA